UGACUGAUGAAUUGAUGAUCCGCUCGAUGUGCGCGCGCAGGGUCGCGACCCGCGUGUUGACGCAGUAGACGGCGCGCUCACUCCCGAAGGGGUGGACCUUUGUGGCCCCGACCCCCACCGCCGGCCCGCUAAGCCGGGAUCGGCCCCGCCCACCACGCAUGUCAUCCAAGGAUGGCUGAGACACGCCGAAUUCCAACACAACGGCGAGCUAGGUCUGAGGUUCCGGUCGCAUCCGGGUUCCUGGAGCGACCUCUGUCCUGAUGAAAAGCCGCGGAUAUCUUCCCGAGGAGCUGAAAUUGCCCCCCCCCCCUGUAAAGUGC